ensembl:antisense Gm16191 predicted gene 16191
GCUACCUCAGCCUGAGAACCUGAACUUGGCCUUACUGAGAAAUGGCACUUGCUCAGACCUGCUGGGAAUUCAAGGGUCACAACAGUAGCCAGGGGACUUUCCAGCAAAUGGUUGUUCCAGAAAAAUCUCAGCAGCACCUGGCCUCUCACGAACACCAGCGCCACAAAAGGAGCCAGCACAUCUCCGACUUCCUGUGCAAGAUGCUGUGUGGAAAGACAGCGGUUUUUUCGUUAAGAUGCCAACUUGGGGCUGGCGAGAUGUCUCUGCAGGGAAAGGCGCUUGCCAGGAAGCCUAACGACCCGAGGUCGUGAGCUGGUGGGAGAGACCCAACUCCGCAAGUCAGCCUCUGACCUCCACAUUCAGAAACUCCCCGAGGCCAGGCUUUGGGUCCCUUUGAGAUCACGGGUCACACAAGGGUGGCACACAGCAGGUGCUCCUUCAUGAGAGAUGACUGGAUGAGCUGGUGACCAGAUCAAUUCCUGGG